UGUACCACCUUGUCGGGUAGCUUAUCAGACUGAUGUUGACUGUUGAAUCUCAUGGCAACAGCAGUCGAUGGGCUGUCUGACAUUUUGGUAUC
ensembl:miRNA microRNA 21